GUGUGUACAUGUGUGUGUGUGUGUGUGUGUGUGUGUGUGUGUGCGUGUGUUUGUAUAGAGAAGAGCUUGUACAAAAUCACUCUGAAACUUGCACAUUUUGUUAUGAAUUUCAUCUGUACAAAUGCCACUGUAAAUACAGAUUCUAUCUGAGGACUACCUCUUGACCUGUAUAGAAACUACACGACUACUUAAGAUGAAAUAUAUUUUGAUAAAAAAAGAACACCAAUCAGAAUGGGUGUUAAAUAAAAUCCACUACCAUUA